ensembl:misc_RNA 7SK 7SK RNA
GGAUGUGAGGGCAAUCUAGCUACAACAUUUGUCACCCCACUGAUCGUGGGGUUGAUAUUGCUGAUUUGGCUGGCUAGGCCAGCCUUCAAUGCUCCCUCAAUGCUCCGUCAAUGCUCCAUAUACCUCCCUUUUGAAGCUGCACACUUGGUCGAAGAGGAAAAGCACCCCUGAUAGAGGAGGACCAUUACUCAGUCCAGAAUAUACAAGCAGCUGCACUUCCUUGCAGAUUCUCCAAACAAACUCUCAGAGAAAGUCCAAGACAUUUUCUGAAGUCAAAAAUGAAUAUAAAACAAAAGACUAGUAUUU